CUAAGGUCAUGAUUUGUAGUCUGGUUCUUCGUGAUGAUGCCACAGGACAUAGCCCAGAAUAUUCAGCUUUGUAAAGAUGGCAGCCUCCUGUCCACACUACUCCAUUUCACUGGUCAGGGCUCUGAGGCUCUGGGACACAGCCUUGACUGGGUCAACUGCCAUGGAGCCAUGAAAUUCCAACAUAAAAGAAUUAGCCUUGCAAAAACCUCUUCUAUUUUACCUCAUAUAUUGUUCAACUCAUAACACUGGGAUAUCUUAGCCUACAGUGAGAACUCAUUUUUAUCUAAUACACAUAAUUAGGCCAAAUCAAUGGAUUACAGAUUAAACAAGCAGGGAAUUUAACUAUGACUGGAAGAACAUUAUGGAUCAGAAGUCCUAAUAAUAUAUGGCCAUCAUUUUAAAAUGCUGGUUAUUUAUUGAAAAUUUUAUCUUGAAGUGGCCUGCAAGAAACUAGCAGCUUUUAAGUUCUUACUAAUUUACUUCACUUGACAACAAAUAUUUAUUUACAUUAAUUUCACAUUUGGUCACAUAUUGAAUGGUUACUGAGCCCUGAGUUUUGCUUGUUUUAAAAUAAAACUGUUAGGUCCUUUGCUUGUUGUUAAAUA
rnacentral:lncRNA from 1 species